GCCUAACACAUGCAAGUCGAACGGAACUAUUUUGACUGAUUCCUUCGGGAUGAAGAAUUUUUAGUUUAGUGGCGGACGGGUGAGUAACGCGUGAGUAACCUGCCUCUGAGAGGGGAAUAACGUUCUGAAAAGAACGCUAAUACCGCAUAACACAUAUUUGCCGCAUGACAGAUAUGUCAAAGAUUUUAUCGCUCGGAGAUGGACUCGCGUCCGAUUAGUUAGUUGGUGAGGUAACGGCUCACCAAGACCGCGAUCGGUAGCCGGACUGAGAGGUUGAACGGCCACAUUGGGACUGAGACACGGCCCAGACUCCUACGGGAGGCAGCAGUGGGGAUAUUGCGCAAUGGGGGCAACCCUGACGCAGCAACGCCGCGUGAAGGAUGAAGGUUUUCGGAUUGUAAACUUCUUUUAUCAGGGACGAACUCUGACGGUACCUGAUGAAUAAGCUCCGGCUAACUACGUGCCAGCCGCCGCAGUAACAC
rnacentral:rRNA from 1 species